UACGUAGGAGACGAGCGUUGUCCGGAGUUACUGGGCGUAAAGGGUGCGCAGGUGGCGGCGCGCGUGGGGGGUGAAAUCGCCCGGCUUAACUGGGCGGGGGCCUUCCAGACGGCGUGGCUUGAGCAGCGGAGGGGGACGUGGAAUUCCGGGUGGAGCGGUGAAAUGCGUAGAGAUCCGGAGGAACACCGACGGCGCAGGCGCGUCCUGGCCGCUUGCUGACACUGAGGCGACGAAAGGCUAGGGGGAGCAAACAGG
rnacentral:rRNA from 1 species